rnacentral:rRNA from 1 species
GACGAACGCUGGCGGCGUGCUUAAUACAUGCAAGUCGAACGGAAAGGUCCUGCUUUUGUGGGGUGCUCGUGUGGCGAACGGGUGAGUAACACGUGAGUAACCUGUCCCUGACUUUGGGAUAACUUCACGAAACUGGGGCUAAUACCGGAUAGGAGCUCUUGCUGCAUGGUGGGGGUUGGAAAGUUUCGGCGGUUGGGGAUGGACUCGCGGCUUAUCAGCUUGUUGGUGGGGUUGUGGCUUACCAAGGCUUUGACGGGUAGCCGGCCUGAGAGGGUGACCGGCCACAUUGGGACUGAGAUACGGCCCAGUCUCCUACGUGAGGCAGCAGUGGGAAAUAUUGCAGAAUGGGCGGAAGCCUGAUGCAGCAACGCCGCGUGCGGGAUGACGGCCUUCGGGUUGAAAACCACUUUCGCCUGUGACGAAGCGUGAGUGACGGUAAUGGGUAAAGAAGCACCGGCUAACUACGUG